UAGAAAUUUUGCCACUGGAUCGAAGUCUAAGACUAGAAGUAAAGAGGAAAUUCCUUUCACUUUAGUUUGAAGAAACAGAUGAGACUCUGGACAAAGACUGCAAGCAAAGGAAGUAAGUACAUUAUACUAGUUUGCAACCCUGAAUUAUGAUGAUAGGCUGGAUUAACAGGGGAAGAAUAAUAGUAGGAAAUCUCUUGAGGAUAUCUGCACUUAGGAAUGCUAGAAUAUAUUAAUAGAGCAUCUUAAAUAGCCAGUGUGAUAAAUGAUAAGCAGGAGAGAUCUGUAAAACAUAUAAACAUUAUUAAGAACAGGAAGUGGCCAAAUAUGAAAAAAAUGGUUUUAUAUGCCUUUUAGAAAUUAUAGUUCAGAUUAUACUUAUUUGUGGAUUAAAAUGAAAUGUUUGAAGCCUAGAUAAUUUGUGAACACUUCAUAAACAUAUUAAUCUAUUAUUGACCUCAGUUGCAAAUCAUUGAACCUAACUUGAAUUUGUGGAAGUAAAAACUGAGGAAAGUAUGAUGUUCAGAAGGGUAAUUUUAGGCCUGGUUUUUGUUAUGACCUAAGGCUAGAUAGUUCAUAUAGAUCAAAUAGUCAGAUCUAGAAUAGAUACUAAGAUGAUCAUUGCAUACUUAUUAUAAAAUGUUUAGCAAAAUAAUUACACAUGAUAAGAACUCAAAAAUUGAGUAAUUUUUAUAAUUAAUAUCAUUUUUUAAAAUAAUUUUAAAAAUUUUCCCACUGUACAGCAAGGGGGUCAGGUUAUCCUUACAUGUAUACAUUACAAUUACAUUUUUCCCCCACCCUUUCUUAUUUAUAUAGGGUUAAUAACAUAUGUGUAAUAUACACUUUUCUGAAUUUAAAAUCUAAAAGUGAUUAGCCGAAUAAAAAUAACUCAUUGUGUGUGUAUAUGAAUGCUGUGUGAGGAUAGAUUAUACAUUUAUGUAUAUGUCUCAUAUUGUGUGUAUAUUCUAUGUUACCUGUUAAAACCAUUCCAGUUAUUCAAAAAUUAGUAUAGUCAAACAUAUAACUUUUUGCUUUACUAAAAUAAAUCUAUUUUAUUUGGAACAGUGUGGGAGAAGUUCAAGCCUAAGGAUGCUCUCAAAAACUACUGUGGUUUUGAUGAUAAGCAGUUAAAUUGAGGUAACUUCAUGAGAGUAACAAGUUUUAAUAUAUGAUAACUACUUUAUGAAAGACAGGAUGGGAAAGAGACAGUUAAAUGCUCCUCUAUGAUCAUAAAAAUGUCAGGUCUUAGCCUCAAAUCAAGUCAAGAGUCCUGGAUUUAACUGAAUCAGACUGUGGAGAAAUAUAUGCCCCAGGGAAUUGUUGAAAGCAAUAGAGCAUCCAGUCAGUAACUGGUAUGAUAAUGGACAAUGACAGUACAAGAUAGUCCUGCUGAGACCACUGUCAUCCCAGGGUGACUGUGAACAUGUUUAAGGCUAUAUACCCUCCAAGGAACAACAUCAGAUGCCUCACAUGGCCGGGCACAUAUAUUUCCCUAAAAUGUUCCAACCAGUGACAAAUGUACAGAAAACAAUAGCUACUACUUGGAAGAAUCAAAAGGAAAUAGAAGACUUGAACAAUAUUAUAAACAAACUAGACCUGGUAAACAUCUAGAGAACACUCCACCAACAACAGUAUAGUCCAUAUUCUUUUCAGGAACACAUGGAACAUUUCCCAGAGAAGAGCAUAUGCUAAGCCAUAAAACAAAUCAUACUAUAUUAAAAUAACUGAAUUAUACAAAGCAUAUUUUCCAAAAACAAUUGAGGGAAAUUAGGAGUCAAUAACAGAAAGAAAUUGGGAAAUUUACAAAUAUGUGAAAAUUGAACAUCAUAUUCCUAAAUAAUGAAUGGGUCAAAAAGGGAAUUAUAGGGAAAAUAGAAAAUACUUUUUUUUUUUUUUUUUUUUUUUUUGUCUUUUUGCUAUUUCUUGGGCCACUCCCACGGCAUAUGGAGGUUCCCAGGCUAGGUGUCGAAUCGGAGUUUUAGCCACCGGCCUACGCCAGAGCCACAGCAACGCGGGAUCCGAGCCGCGUCUGCAACCUACACCACAGCACUGCCGGAUCGUUAACCCACUGAGCAAGGGCAGGGACCGAACCCGCAACCUCAUGGUUCCUAGUCGGAUUCGUUAACCACUGAGCCACGACGGGAACUCCGAAAAUACUUUGAGACAAGUUAAUGACAACAUAUUUUACCAAAGCUUACUGGAUGCAGCUAAAGCACUAAUUAGAAAAUUAUAGCUGUAAAUGCUUAAAAUUUAAAAAGAGAAAAUCUCAUAUCAAACAAUUCAACAUUUCAUCUUAAAACACUGGACAAGAAGAACAAAGUCAACUCAAAGUAAGAAGAAGAAAGUGAGUAAUAAAAAUCAGAUUAGAAAUUAAUAAAAUAGAGAACAGAAAGAGAAUAUAAACAAAACUAAGAAUUGGUUCAAGAUACACUAAAUUUACAAAUUUUUUGCUAGACUGAAAAAGAAAAGACUCAAAUACUAAAAUCAGGAAUGGACCAGAGGGUAUUACUACUGACCUUCCAAAAAUAAAAAAGAAUUUGUAGAGAAUACUAUUAACAAUUUUAUGCCAAUAAAUUAGAUAAUAUAGAUAAAAAUAACAAAUUUGCAUAAAUACAUAAACUACCAACACUGGCUCACGGAGAAAUAGAAAUUACAAAUAGACUUAUAACACGUAAAGGGAUUGAAUUAAUAAUUAGGGAAAAAACUACCCACAAAGAAAGCCAAAGCCCAGGCUCAGACUACUUUAUUUGUGUAUUCUGCCAAAUAAUUCUACCAUUUAAACAAUUAAUACCAUUUCUUCACUCUUAGAAAAAUAAAGAAGAGAAAGAAACACCUCUCAAUUCUUUCUCCAAGGUCAGUAUCACUCUGAUCCAAAACCAAAUUAAGACAUCAUGAGAGAAGAAAACUGCAGAUUAAUAUAACUUUUAAAUAUAGAAGCAAAAUUCCUUAACAAAAAUAAGCACUUCAAAUUCCAUAAUAUUUAAAAAAAUAGACGCCACAACCAAGUGGAAUUUUGGCCAGGAAUGCAAGUGUUAGUUUAACAUUUGAAAAUCAACUGAUAUAAAACAACAUAUCAAUAGGCUAAAUAAUUUUUAAAUUAUUGCAAUAGAUACAGAUAAAGCAUUUAACAAAAUCCAAUAUUGCUUCAUGUUGAAAAUACUCAACCACUUAUAAAUACAGAGGACUAUCCUCAACCAAAUUAAGUCACCUACUUACAAAAAAAAAAAAUAGAUAGCAUGAUACUUAAUGGCAAAAAAAAAAAAGAAAAAAGAAAAAA
rnacentral:lncRNA from 1 species